UUUCAUUAUUUCUCCUUAUUUUUUACCCUAAAUUCCACCUUUUUAAUCACUUUUUUUUCCUUCCAAAAUCCACUUCUGUAAGGUUUUUUCUUAUAUUUUUACCCCAAAUUCCGCUUUUUUUUUCCAUAUUUUUCCCUCAAUAUUUCCCCCAAAAUUCGCUUUUUUUUCUUUAUUUUCCACCAUUUUAAAGCGUUUCUCCCCUAAAAUUCCAUUUUUUUCUCAGUAUUUUUCCCAAAUUUCACCUUUUUGUCCUCAAUAUUUUCCCCCUGCCGGGACCAGAGGCGACCUUGGAACAUUUUCACUUUUUCUUCCCCAAAAUUUCAAUUUUUCCACUUUGAAAUUCCACCAGAAUCCAUUUUUUUUCCUUUUUUUUACCUUUUUUUUACCCGAAACAUUUUUUUAAAAUUUUUCACUUUUUUUCCCACCAAAAUCCCAUUUUUCCUCAUUUUCCUUUCCCCAAUUUCUCCCCAUUUUUUGACAUUUUUCUGAAUUUUUCCUGCAAUAUUUCCCCAUUAUUUUUCCCAAUUUUCCCUCAUUUUCCUCCCCAGUUUUCCCCCAUUUCUCCCCUAAUUUUCCGCCCAUUUUUCUACAAUUUUUCCUCAUUUUUCCCCCAUUUUCUCCCCAACUUUCCCCCAAAUUUUCCCCAUUUUCUCUCCAAUUUUUCUCCAUUUUCUCCCCAUUUUUCCUUAAUUUUCCCCCGAUUUUCUCCCCAAUUUUCUCCUCCUUUUUCCCCAUUUUUUCCUGAUUUUCCUCCCAUUUUCCCUCUGAUUUCUCCCCCAUUAAUUUUCCAUUUUCUCCCCAUUUUUCAUCAUUUUCCCACCAUUUUCCCUCCAUUUUUCACCCUUUUUUCUCUCUCUAUUUCUCCCUCAUUUUUUCCUCCACUUUUCUCCCCAUUUUUUCUCCAAUUUCUUCCCCAUUUUUUUUCCCCAUUUCUUUUCCAUUUUCCCCCAAUUUUCCCCAUUUUCUCCUCAUUUUUCCCCCAUUUUCCUACAAUAUUUCCCCA
rnacentral:lncRNA from 1 species